rnacentral:rRNA from 1 species
AGUGCGUCUUAAGCAUGCAAGUCAAACGGAAUGUAGCAAUACAUUUAGUGGCGAACGGGUGAGUAACGCGUGGAUGAUCUACCUAUGAGAUGGGGAUAACUACUAGAAAUAGUAGCUAAUACCGAAUAAGGUCAAUUAAUUUGUUAAUUGAUGAAAGGAAGCCUUUAAAGCUUCGCUUGUAGAUGAGUCUGCGUCUUAUUAGUUAGUUGGUGGGGUAAAUGCCUACCAAGACGAUGAUAAGUAACCGGCCUGAGAGGGUGAACGGUCACACUGGAACUGAGAUACGGUCCAGACUCCUACGGGAGGCAGCAGCUAAGAAUCUUCCGCAAUGGGCGAAAGCCUGACGGAGCGACACUGCGUGARUGAAGAAGGUCGAAAGAUUGUAAAAUUCUUUUAUAAAUGAGGAAUAAGCUUUGUAGGAAAUGACAAAGCGAUGACGUUAAUUUAUGAAUAAGCCCCGGCUAAUUACGUGCCAGCAGCCGCGGUAAUACGUAAGGGGCGAGCGUUGUUCGGGAUUAUUGGGCGUAAAGGGUGAGUAGGCGGAUAUAUAAGUCUAUGCAUAAAAUACCACAGCUCAACUGUGGAGCUAUGUUGGAAACUAUAUGUCUAGAGUCUGAUAGAGGAAGUUAGAAUUUCUGGU